GGCCAGGUAGCUCAGUCGGUAGAGCAGGGGACUGAAAAUCCCCGUGUCGGCGGUUCAAUUCCGUCCCUGGCCACCA
rnacentral:tRNA from 3 species